rnacentral:rRNA from 2 species
GGACCUCAGAUCAGGCAAGAUUACCCGCUGAGUUUAAGCAU